rnacentral:rRNA from 1 species
UACGUAGGGUGCAAGCGUUAAUCGGAAUUACUGGGCGUAAAGCGUGCGCAGGCGGUUAUGCAAGACAGAUGUGAAAUCCCCGGGCUCAACCUGGGAACUGCAUUUGUGACUGCAUAGCUAGAGUGCGGCAGAGGGAGAUGGAAUUCCGCGUGUAGCAGUGAAAUGCGUAGAUAUCGUGAGGAAGACCGGUGGCGAAGGCGGAUCUCUGGACAGUUCCUGACGCUGAGGCGCGAAGGCCAGGGGAGCAAACGGG